AUGGGAAGCACUGCCUUUGCUCGAGGGGAAUCCUUCUUGCUCUGUGUCCUAUGUCAGCUCUUUGAAAGUUUUGACUUUCUCAUACUGUAUAAUUUGGCCACACUUGGGGAUGAUAAUUCAACAGCGGCUUCUUGGGAUGUUCCUCUAAAGCUCUCUUCUGAAACAGGAAACAUAAUAGGAUAUACGUUAUGGCAACAUUCAAACUGUUCAUCAAUUAUCCAUUACAUCUGCCAUCUCCCUUCUGCCAAUCGAGGUGCUAAAAAGAGUGGGAAUGAGCCACAGGAUAAUGUCUCAGCGACCUAACCACCUGACUUAGUGAUUACAGCAUUUCCAAAGCUCAGCUAGGGGAAGUAGCCGGAGAAGGUUUAUUGUUUCUGUCCUGAUUUGUUUUUUGCUGCCAAUGUUUUGCGGAUGGAACAGGCUCUGUGUGUGAUUCAAGAACAUGCCAUAUGAUUUAAAAUUGGACCCGCUGACACUACUAAUUAAUGCGGAAGCAAGAAGCCAGCAGCUGCGGCAGUACGAUGAAACCCUGCUUCAAAGAGCCUGCGAGAAGAAAGGCAGACUCUCUGACGUUCCUCAUUCUGCAGGCCUGGUUUCCUCAUCCUCAAACCAUGCUCUCAGAUCUACCUUAUGCUGGGAAGUCCUCCAGCACAUCCCCCACCUCCCCCUCUUCCCUGUCCCCCACCGCGCCCCCGCUCCUAGCUCCUAGCUCCUUCAUAACAAAGAAGAUAAAUCCUUGAAUUACCGUUCGCUGAUUGGCAUCCUGUUGCUAGGAAACUGUGAAAUGAAUGUAUCAUAUUUCAUAAUAAAAAUGCCACUGACCUAUCCUUGGAAAGACGU
rnacentral:lncRNA from 1 species